rnacentral:tRNA from 1 species
CCUUCGAUAGCUCAGUUGGUAGAGCGGUGGACUGUAGCAAGAGUAGCUUUUGAGGAAAGGGAGCAAUAUGACUAAUGAAUUCACCUCAAAACAAUGACGGAUCAUGUUGCAAACUUGCUCAAAGGCAAAGAGUUAUCCAUAGGUCACUGGUUCAAAUCCGGUUCGAAGGA